GGAUAUGACCUCCUGUCGCAUGGUGGGGGGUGGAAAGGGUUUGUACUGGUUGUGGAUGGGCUCACGGCCUAUCAGCUUGUUGGUGGGGUAAUGGCCUACCAAGGCGACGACGGGUAGCCGGCCUGAGAGGGUGACCGGCCACACUGGGACUGAGACACGGCCCAGACUCCUACGGGAGGCAGCAGUGGGGAAUAUUGCACAAUGGGCGCAAGCCUGAUGCAGCGACGCCGCGUGAGGGAUGACGGCCUUCGGGUUGUAAACCUCUUUCAGCACGGAAGAAGCGAAAGUGACGGUACGUGCAGAAGAAGCGCCGGCUAACUACGUGCCAGCAGCCGCGGUAAUACGUAGGGCGCAAGCGUUGUCCGGAAUUAUUGGGCGUAAAGAGCUCGUAGGCGGUUUGUCGCGUCUGCUGUGAAAGCCCGGGGCUUAACCCCGGGUGUGCAGUGGGUACGGGCAGACUUGAGUGCAGUAGGGGAGACUGGAACUCCUGGUGUAGCGGUGAAAUGCGCAGAUAUCAGGAAGAACACCGAUGGCGAAGGCAGGUCUCUGGGCUGUUACUGACGCUGAGGAGCGAAAGCAUGGGGAGCGAACAGGAUUAGAUACCCUGGUAGUCCAUGCCGUAAACGUUGGGCACUAGGUG
rnacentral:rRNA from 1 species